rnacentral:rRNA from 1 species
UACAGAGGUCUCAAGCGUUGUUCGGAUUUACUGGGCGUAAAGGGCGCGUAGGCGGCGCGGUAAGUCACUUGUGAAAUCUCUGAGCUUAACUCAGAACGGCCAAGUGAUACUGCAGUGCUAGAGUGCAGAAGGGGCAAUCGGAAUUCUUGGUGUAGCGGUGAAAUGCGUAGAUAUCAAGAGGAACACCUGAGGUGAAGACGGGUUGCUAGGCUGACACUGACGCUGAGGCGCGAAAGCCAGGGGAGCAAACGGG